CAAGCUCUGAGCCACCACUACCCAAUGCUUCUUGAAGGCAAAUAUGCAAACAGAAUGCUGUUGUAAGACUCCAGGGAGCCUUAGCUUUCUGGAGAUCCUGUGAAUAAAACACAUGAAGUUGGGAUUGAUGCAAAAAGCAAGAGGAAUUUAUUGUUCCUGUGCACGAGGUUCGUCCCAGACCCAAAGGAGAGGCAGUGGCCCCCAGCACCCAACUGGUGAGUUUAUAUGGUUCCCAGGGGUAGAAUAGAGC
rnacentral:lncRNA from 1 species